rnacentral:rRNA from 1 species
CCUACGGGUGGCAGCAGUGGGGAAUAUUGGACAAUGGGCGAAAGCCUGAUCCAGCCAUGCCGCGUGUGUGAAGAAGGCCUUCGGGUUGUAAAGCACUUUCAGUGGGGAAGAAAGCCUUGGGGCUAAUACCCUCGAGGAAGGACAUCACCCACAGAAGAAGCACCGGCUAACUCCGUGCCAGCAGCCGCGGUAAUACGGAGGGUGCGAGCGUUAAUCGGAAUUACUGGGCGUAAAGCGCGCGUAGGCGGUCUGAUAAGCCGGUUGUGAAAGCCCCGGGCUCAACCUGGGAACGGCAUCCGGAACUGUCAGGCUAGAGUGCAGGAGAGGAAGGUAGAAUUCCCGGUGUAGCGGUGAAAGGCGUAGAGAUCGGGAGGAAUACCAGUGGCGAAGGCGGCCUUCUGGACUGACACUGACGCUGAGGUGCGAAAGCGUGGGUAGCAAACAGGAUUAGAUACCCUUGUAGUC